ACUACGCUGGCGGCGUGCCUAACACAUGCAAGUCGGACGAUUCUUUGAUUAUAGCAAUAUUAUUAAAGAGGAGUGGCGAACGGGUGAGUAACACGUAGAUAAUCUGCCUUUCAGACGGGGACAACUCAGGGAAACUUGUGCUAAUACCCGAUGAGACCACAAGAAGGGAUUUUUUGUGGCCAAAGGCGGGCAGCAAUGCUCGUGCUGAAAGAUGAGUCUGCGUCCUAUCAGCUAGUUGGUGGGGUAAAUGCCUACCAAGGCUAAGACGGGUAGCCGGCCUGAGAGGGUGAACGGCCACACUGGGACUGAGACACGGCCCAGACUCCUACGGGAGGCAGCAGUGAGGAAUUUUCCGCAAUGGGCGCAAGCCUGACGGAGCGACGCCGCGUGAGGGAUGAACCAGCUUUCGGGUUGUAAACCUCUUUUAUUAAGGAAAAAGAUCUAUAUGCUAAUAUCAUGUAGAUUUGAUGGUACUUAUUGAAUAAGCCCCGGCUAACUACGUGCCAGCAGCGGC
rnacentral:rRNA from 1 species